UCGACGUGUUUCGGUCGUUACACCGCUGUUCGGAUGUCCAGCCACAAUAAUUGCUGCAUAGUUGGAUGCAACGCGACUUAUGCGAACUCUCCAGGUGUGAAAUUUUACAGUUUUCCCUGGAAAAGUUACGAAAAGGAGCGACGCGCCAUAUGGGUGCAACUUGUUCGCCGGCUGACUGCAUCCGGCAAGCCGUGGGUGCCUACCAAGCACUCUCGAAUAUGCAGCAAGCACUUCGUUGGCAAUGCAAAGUCCGACAAUGCUACACACCCUGCCUACAACCCGUCAAUCUUCCCCGAAGCGUACAGGAAGCGACCGAUACGUACCACCGAUCGCUACGAAAGGUCAAAACGGCGCAGAGACUGGGUUGCCUGUAACGUUCUAUCUGCUGCACCGGGACCUGACAACAAUGACAACUGUGAGCCCAUCGCUUCUGACACUGAAGAUCUCGCAGUAGUGGAAGAUUAUGCAGGAUGUGGCAUGCAUGAAGACGAACCACCAACAA